UACGGGAGGCAGCAGUGGGGAAUAUUGCACAAUGGGCGCAAGCCUGAUGCAGCCAUGCCGCGUGUAUGAAAAAGGCCUUCGGGUUGUAAAGUACUUUCAGUCGUGAGGAAGGUGUUAAGGUUAAUAACCUUAGCAAUUGACGUUAGCGACAGAAGAAGCACCGGCUAACUCCGUGCCAGCAGCCGCGGUAAUACGGAGGGUGCGAGCGUUAAUCGGAAUUACUGGGCGUAAAGGGCACGCAGGCGGUUAAUUAAGUUGGAUGUGAAAUCCCCGGGCUUAACCUGGGAAUGGCAUUCAAGCUGGUUAGCUAGAGUCUUGUAGAGGGGGUAGAAUUCCAUGUGUAGCGGUGAAAUGCGUAGAGAUGUGGAGGAAUACCGGUGGCGAAGGCGGCCCCUGGACAAAGACUGACGCUCAUGUGCGAAAGCGUGGGGAGCAAACAGGGAUUGAUACC
rnacentral:rRNA from 1 species